AUUGAACGCUGGCGGCAGGCCUAACACAUGCAAGUCGAACGAGUGGCGGACGGGUGAGUAAUGUCUGGGAAACUGCCAGAUGGAGGGGGAUAACUACUGGAAACGGUCGCUAAUCCCGCAUACCAUCAGAUGUGCCCAGAUGGGAUUAGCGAGUUGGUGGGGUAACGGCUCACCAAGGCGACGAGCCCUAGCGGGGCUGAGAGGAUGACCAGCCACACUGGACCGGAGACACGGUCCAAGGUCGUACGGGAGGCAUCAGUGGGGAAUAUUGCACAAUGGGCGCAAGCCGGAUGCAGCCAUGCCGCGUGUAUGAAGAAGGCCUUCGGGUUGUAAAGUACUUUCAGCGGGGAGGCGUUACCCGCAGAAGAAGAACCGGCUAACUCCGUGCCAGCAGCCGCGGUAAUUC
rnacentral:rRNA from 1 species